AACUGGUCGGGAACUAGAGCCGUCUUCCUGAUGAGCCCGAGGUAGGGCAAAACCAGUA
rnacentral:hammerhead_ribozyme from 22 species